rnacentral:rRNA from 1 species
UACGGAGGAUGCGAGCGUUAUCCGGAUUUAUUGGGUUUAAAGGGUGCGUAGGCGGACGCUUAAGUCAGCGGUAAAAUUGCGGGGCUCAACCUCGUCGAGCCGUUGAAACUGGGUGUCUUGAGUGGGCGAGAAGUACGCGGAAUGCGUGGUGUAGCGGUGAAAUGCGUAGAUAUCACGCAGAACUCCGAUUGCGAAGGCAGCGUACCGGCGCCCAACUGACGCUGAAGCACGAAGGCGUGGGUAUCGAACAGG